rnacentral:tRNA from 1 species
UGCUCCUUAGUUCAGUGGUAAGAAUGCUUGGCUUACAUCCAAGAGGUCAUUGGUUCAAAUCCAAUAGGAGCAA